GAGAAACUCUGACAGAGUCAAGAAUAUGCGACAUGACUUUGUAGAGAGAGUAUUGGAGCUGGAUGCCCAUGUAAUUCGCCAUGAAUUUAUUUAUGUGGAUGAGGUUGGCUUCAACCUCACCAAAACCAGGUGCCACGGAAGAAAUGUAAUAGGACAGAGGGCAAUUACCAAUGUCCCUGGACAGCGUGGGGGUAAUAUAACUGUGCUGCCAUCACUCAAAACGGGGUCCUCCAUCACAAUGCCACACUGGGUCCGUACAACACCGGCCAUAUGCUCACUAUUCUGGAUGCAAUUUCCACAAUGCUUGUCCUUGAUCUAGAUCAGGAGCCUGCUAGAUGUGUGGUUUUAUGGGACAAUGUUAAAUUUCACCGGGCUGUUCUGGUCCAAAUCUGGUUUGCCACCCAUCUACAAUUUGUAGUUUUGUACCACCCCCCCCGGACCCCACACUUUUGGUUUACAUAUGUUUAUGGUUUUGUUGUAUGCUACUGUAUACAACUGUAAAGUUUGGCCUAAUAAAUAUUUUCUGUUUCUACAUUG